rnacentral:rRNA from 1 species
AUUGAACGCUGGCGGUAGGCCUAACACAUGCAAGUCGAGCGGAUGAAGGGUGCUUGCUCCUGGUUUCAGCUGCGGACUGGUGAGUAAUGCCUAGGAAUCUGGCUGGUUGUUGGGGCUAGCGUGCGUAAACGGGCGCUAAUACGCCAUACGUCCUGAGGGAGAAAGUGGGGGAUCUUCGGAUCUCCCGCCAUUAGAUGAGCCUAUGUCGGAGUAGCUAGUUGGUGGGGUAAAGGCCUACCAAGGCGACGAUCCGUAACUGGUCUGAGAGGAUGAUCAGUCACACUGGAACUGAGACACGGUCCAGACUCCUACGGGAGGCAGCAGUGGGGAAUAUUGGACAAUGGGCGAAAGCCUGAUCCAGCCAUACCGCGUGUGUGAAGAAGGUCUUCGGGUUGUAAAGCCCUUUUAUUGGGGAAGAAGGGCAGUAAGUUAAUACCUCGCUGUUUUGACGGUACCAACAGAAUAAGCACCGGCUAACUUCGUG